rnacentral:rRNA from 1 species
UACGUAGGGGGCAAGCGUUGUCCGGAUUUAUUGGGCGUAAAGAGCGUGUAGGCGGUUAGGUAGGUCCGUUGUGAAAACUCGAGGCUCAACCUCGAGACGCCGAUGGAAACCAUCUGACUAGAGUCCGGAGGAGGAGAGUGGAAUUCCUGGUGUAGCGGUGAAAUGCGCAGAUAUCAGGAAGAACACCCGUGGCUAAGGCGGCUCUCUAGUACGGUACUGACGCUGAGACGCGAAAGCGUGGGGAGCGAACAGG